GCAGCACCCCCGGCGUGGGCUGCUCCCGGUGCAGCCCCGCACAGCCUCGCCAGCCGCAGCGGGUCAGGCUGCUUUCCAGCACAAUUGGCGGUGUUUGCAGGGCCGCUGCUGCACACCCGGCCACCUCGAGGACUCAGACAUCAGAGGGAGACAGAGGCAGAACGUGUGAGUUGACGUAGACCCAUGUGGACCAAAUUAUUUCUUUCCCCUAGGCCACGCAUGCGCCAUAUAGAUGCUUCACAGUACUCUGAUGGAACUCUUUUGGGUUCAUGCUAGUUUUGUGAGGUAGUUUGUUCCUUCUCUCUGCAAAGCUGUGGGCUGAAGGAGAAAACUAGGUUGAUCUGUAUUGGCAGAGACCUCAAUGUAAGCGAUCUUCAGCCAUCUCCUGUUGCUCUCCUAGCCCUAGGAAGGCUGAAGAAACCUUUCCAACUUCCCACCCUGCCGUGAAGCCCUUUCCACUGUUGCAAGUAUGCACGUGGACUUGACAUUCGGAGUACUUUAUGCAUAAGGCCCCAUGUGUAUCAUGGUACAAAGUAAUUGUCCAGUCUUAUGGAUAGUUUAUGCCCCAACGGGGUUUUGUAGAUUAAUAGUAAAAGAACAAAAAAGCACUUUUAAAUUAUUUAUAUUAUAAAAAGACAUUCUUUAUUUUUCUUGGCAUCGAUAUCACUUAGCUAAAAAUCAGUUUAUAAGAAUGCUAUUACAGAUUUUAAACUAUAGCAAUGAUAAAGCAAACACGAAAAAGCGGAGUUCAGAGCUGAGCAGAGGCCAAACCUCCGGGCGCGAGGCAGCGGGAGCACGGGGCCCGCGGGGGCUCCCCUCCCGCCCAGGUCGCGCAGCCACGCGCGCACUCGGGGAGCAAAUGCCGCCAGUGCAAUAUUCUCACAGCCAACACAGGACGUAGAGGGGGGUUUGGUGACUUGUGACUUUGUGAUCUCUACGGGGCCUUGCUCAUGUUACAUUUUCGGACCUCAUACAAGCACUUAAUGACUUUGCCGAGGCUGAGUCAGUCUGUUGCACAUUGAUGUAGAUUAAGUGGCACCCACUGAAUUACCUCUUCUACUUUCCGACGUGGUUCACUUGUACAUAAGUGUAAUGUCAAAUUGUUUACAGGUUAUUUUGUGCGUAAUUGUGGAAACAAAAAUUUUAACUACAAAUUUAAAGGAAUCGAUUUUACUGGAAGGUGUUAAAAAAAAAUGAAUGUGCUUAAUACAGUAUAGACAUCAUUGAUUAUGGUCUCACAUGAAUGCAUGUAUCUCCGUGUUGUCAGUCCCCACCAGUGAGGUUAUUGGCAAUAUUCUGCAGUCUGUGAAUAGCAAAUAUGCAUAAACUACUGUGACUCUGACAAAUAUAACUCAGUAACUGUUUCUACUGUGGUAUGUAAAAAAAAAAAAAAAAAAAAAAAAAUCAACCUGUAGCUUUUAGCCUGCUGUAUUUCCCUGGUACAAAUAACACCGAGACAGAAAGAGACAAGUUGGGAAAAACCAAAGCAGUCACAACUGUGACCUGGGCAGAGUCACUUGCCCAGUGGCUCCUGCCAGGUGGCUUUGGUCCCGCUGCCAAAAAAGCCUGCGUGUAGGGGCUCUGAGGUGGUAAACCACGUGUUGCUGUUGCCCUUCUGCUCCAGCGUCACUGCUGGCAGAAGAGCCGACCUUUCGUUUAGGAUCCCGGUAAAUGGAGGGAGGAAUUAAAUAUUCAUGGCUCUCAUAAGUGGGUCAGGUGUUACACGAUACGCUGCAUGUACAGCCAUCAGCACUGUGGUGCUGGGUGGCUGAAAUCUGCAGCUAAUUCGUGUCUGCCAUCCAGAUCUGUGCAAGGGCACAGACAAGAAUAAAUAAGUUGGUAUCCUUUGCCUGUCAUAUAUAUACACACACGUAGAUAUAUAUGUAGAUACAUACAUGCUUUCUUGCCCACUGUAAUUUAGCAUUGCUUCAUGUUAAACAGUUCCUUACAGAUUGGGGAUAAUUCUCUGAUUAAAUUUUUGAGUUUUAUUUUCCUCAUUUAUGUCUGUGAGACGCUGAAAGCACCACUUCAGUGAUUGCAGGCUGGCAUCCUUCUUCUUCCCCACCUUCAACAGGGAUUUUCUGACGCCGUGAUUGGAAAGUACUGCCACCAGCAGCAAUACAUCUGGAAGAGCCAUCGCUGCAUCAGGGGUUACCUACCGGAGUAUUUCCAGGAAUACUUUGAAAUACUUUGCUGUGCUCUUAAGGAUGCCCCACGAAGGGAAGGAAUGCAAUUCUGCAUUCUCAGAAUGACAGACUUGUGACUUGUGUUCACUGUCAUGUUUCCUUCCUCCCUUCUGAGGGGUAGUUCCAGCAUGGCACCCCUGGUCUCUGCACUCUCAUCGCUCCUCCACGCUAACACGACUCGAAUAGGGAAGCAUAGCUGUAGGCAAGCUGGGGCUGGAAGAGCCAGAAAAGUAGGCAAUUGCUCACUUGUGUGGCUGAAUAUCCUGGGAUGAUUUUUUUUUAUUAUUAUUUUUAAUCUUUGGUACUUGGCUGAUCUCCAGUGGAGCCCUUUCUGAAGGCCCCUUCCUGGGAGCAGACCCUGGAUUUGCGGAGCUCGUCCCAUCUGGUGCCUUGCCGAGCAGGGAUUUGGGUGCUGCAGUGUCUGCACAAGCGUAUGGGAGGCAAAGCCCUUCUGGAAGCUCAUCUCCUCGGAUGCUGAGGUGUGUGUGAGCAGCCACGGCAGCCGGCAGCCGGCUGGGGACAGCAAGCUGGGCAGGACGGCAGAGGACGGAGCCUUCUGCUGGGACGAGCUCACACCCGGAUCGGUGACCCCGAGCCUGGAGCCAAGGGGACAGGGAGAAGGGCGGCGGUGGGGAGCCCGUCCCGCUGGGCCAGCCUGGGGCGGCCGCGAUCUUGGCUUGCUCAGCAGUGAGCUUGUCUUCGGGGCAAUCAGAAGAGGGGAUGCUGCUAUUACCAGAUUUCUAUUAGAAACGACGCACGUUACUUUUCCAGGUAGGCUUUUUUUGUCCUACUCACAUAUAUCCAAACUAUUGCAAGUGUUCAGAGCUGGUAACAGCAACCAGUAACAGCAAAUAGCUGGGCUCCACGUGUCCGUGGAGAUGCUGCACCAGUGUGUGGUAUGGAUGAGAUCUCUGUGUCUCAUGGACUUUGAAGAAAAAUUUUUUAUUUUUAUUUUUUACAGUUUGGAAUAAACAAAAAUGCAUUCUUUUUGUUCCUUUUUUAUGUGAAGCUACUACAAAUCUCAUUUUGGCUGACCUGAAAUGACAGCAAUGUUUCACUUCAAAUGACUACAAAAUUAAUAACAAUUUGUUACAUCCCUCUUUGAACUUUUUUGUUUGUUUGUUUUAGUUAGACCAGUUUUGAACUGUUGGUCUUCUGAGAAUACAAGCUGAAAUCUUUCACUUCUCAAAUGAUGAGUUACUCAUUUUUGCACAUUUCACCAUGCCCCCUUGUGCCCUUGUUCCCAGCCAUUGCAGGCCCACCAUGCAUUCCCAAAUGCCCCCAGCUCCCUGAAGGGGCUGGCUUCUGCCCCCCAGCCCGGCCACCGCCUCGCUCCUCCUGGCUGUGAUCCCCUAGCGAGCACCAGUGCUGCUCCCAGAGCAGAGCAGUGCUCCUGGGGGCUGGCUUCCCCACACCCCCAGCCAGUUCUGCCAGAUGCCCCUCACCAGCAGCCAUGACAACUCUGCUCCUUCCAACAAACGCGUCUCUUCGUAAUGCACUGUGGCUUUUUCAAAACAGCACAUUUUCCUGAAAAUAUUUUAAGCAGCUCUACUUGUUUGCUUGUGCCAAUGUAAGCCAUGCUCUGAGGCUUCGCGUUUCAGGGAUGCACGCAGACAACUUGCCCGCAAUGCCCCCGGUGGAGCAGACUCAUUUACAGGAAAAAGUCCUGUAAAACUGCCCAAGCUUCUGGGAGCCAUAAUCAGAUGCGCUGGACUGUUUCCAUUGCCCAGAAAGUCACAAAGAAAAGAAGAAAGAAAAGAAGAAAAACAGUUCAAGAUCAAAGUUUUUUUUGUAAAAAUUAUUUGCUUUCCUUUGCUGGCUCAAGAGAUCACAAGCAGAGCAGUAGCACUCUACCUGUUCUUUCACUUCUUUCAAUUUCAUUUAAUUAUGCUAAUACUUCAUUAUGUCGAGGCAGUGCUGGGGGUAGCCACGGGGAAGCCGAGCUCUAAGAGCAUGCCUCAGUACGGUGCUGUCGUGGCUGCAGGGCCUCAGGUACCAGGUGCCAGCAGACAGCUCUUCAGCACCAGCACGCUCAGCGCUGCAUAACAAAAGCCAAUUAGCAAGGCUCCAGCUCCCUGGUAAUAAAUCUUAAGAGAAGCUGAACUGUUCUGGAAUAUAUUAUUGUCUUCAUUUCUUUUCAUGUGCAAAGAAAUCAAAAAGCUUGCUCUUUACUGACAGCUGAGGUGAAGCCAAAUUCCAGCAGUCAUGAGGAAAAGGCCCUUUUCAGAGGCGUCUGUCGUGGCUCAGCCCAGGCUUCCCCUGCUUGUCCCUCUUCAUCAUGCAGAAGGAGCGCUGUGCUGUCUCAUCUCCCUUUUCAUCUUUCCCAGCCCUUUCUGUCUGCAAAGGAGGAGAAGGCAGCGACGCAGCCGCCACGGCUGGUGGAGGCCUCCUGCCCGCAGGGCACAGCUCUGCUGCCCCGCGCCCGAGCAGCUCCACAGCAGGGGCUGCGGGCACGGGGGUGGCCAUGGGGGCCCCUCCUCAGCUGCUGGCAGCUCCCGGGGGGCAGCGGUGGUCCCAAGGGUGUUGCUGAGAGCACUGCAACCCGGUGGUGUGGCUGCUGCUCCUCACGGGCCUGACGCAGAGCCGGCAUGGUCAGCCCCACGCACCUUCGCAAGCAAAAACGAGAGAAAAGCAGGACACGGGCCUGAUCCUGCUGCUUAGCAGAGUUUUGACAAGGAAGACAAUACCUGGAGUUAGCAGCUUGGUCCCUCAAAAUCUGGAGAGGAAGAAUCAAAGUGCAAUUUUGAUCACGUCCAUUCCCAACCUGAGAGGAACACUGCACCGUGUGUGCUGAAAAAUAGCUCUGCUGCUGCCGCCUCAUCUCCGCAGAGCAACAUUUGCGUGCCUGACGGGAGAAUGACAAAGCGGCAGCUCAGAUGCUUGUGGAGGUGGGUGUGAAGCUGGGGGAUCAGAUGCUGCGGGCGGCAGGCUGGAGCUGAUGACCUCCGGAGGCAUCUCCCAGCCUGACGUGCUGCGUGGGACGGGAGCGGAGGAAGGCAGAGCCGGCCGGUCACCACCAGGCGGGAGGGAACCGGAGCAGGAACACGGGGAAGGGGGCGAC